rnacentral:lncRNA from 1 species
UAUAGCUUUUGAAUGAUGCCACUCUGCUGGUUAGGUCAGCACGCCACUCCGUCACACGGUUAUUCAGUUACAGCUGACCAGCCUAAAGCAAUGUGAAAUGAAGUGUUUUGUUCAAUAAUACAACACACAGCCAACCUGAGAAUUGAAACCUCGAUCUUACAAUCACAAAUACAAUGCACCUAACCACUCACCCAUGCACCUUCAUAUUAUACAUAGAGAAACCAUCAGAAGACAGCAAAUGGAUGGUUGAGAACUGCUGCUGUCAGGUGAACUGCAGGUGCCAAUGGCCAGAGUCAAUCACCUUACUACAGGUGAUUACCAUUCGUAAUCCCAUCUAAUUUACAACUGGCCAGCAUAAACAGGACAGACAUACCAACCAACAUAAUAUGUACCCUAUUGAUGAAAAAGUUUCUGCUAAAUAAAGAUCUAAAAAAAAAUGGCUUCUCCUCAAGAAAAGGCACAAUGUGUAUGUCACGGUUUAUUGAAGCAAAAUCAAACAUGCAGACCCAGGAUUAAGUAUGGAAGACAUCCACCAUCAUUUCAUGCAUGGAACAAAAAAUUUAUGGAAAUAGGAACAGUGUUGAAUAAAGGAAAGAGUGGACGACCAAAAUUAUCUGAGGAAAACAUCAAUCAUGUAAGACAAGCCUUUGCUAUUUCUCCUACAAAGUCCAUACUAUGAUCAACAGUGCACAAAGUCCACAAGAGCUUGUGAUUGCAUGCUUACAAAGUGCAUCUCUUACAAGCACUUGAACCAAAUGAUAAACCAAGGCGAAAAGAGUUUGCAGUCAACAUGCUGGAAUGAAUUUCUGUGAAUGCAGCAUUCCUCACCUCGAGUUUGUUUUAGUGAUGAAACAACCUUUCAUGUUUCAGGGAAACUGAACACACAUAAUGUGAGGAUCUGGGGAUCAGAACAUCCCCAUGUGGCUCCAUAUGACUAGUCUUAGGGUGAACGUCUGGUGUGGGACGAUGUGUACUCAGAUCAUUGGUCCAUUUUUCUUCACAGAGAAAUCAAUUUCUGCAAAUAUUUAAAAUCCAACAUCCAGUCAACAUCAUGGUGUCUUAAGUGAUCACUUGUGAUGGCGACAUUACGCCUCCAUUCAUCUUCCCAUACAGCCUCAGACUCAACAUGGGGGCCUUCAUGAAGUGCCUGGAGGAGGUGUGAU